rnacentral:sRNA from 1 species
UGCAACGGAACACGACUAA